GGGCGCUGGCGGCCGUUUUGCCUCUCUGUGCGACCUUCAAAUACAGCGAAGAAGAAUGUGUGCGCAUGCGCACUUCAUAUUAGUUGAUGUCGACGUCAGCUUCUGUCUGUCAGUGUGGGAGAUGGUGAGGCUCUCUCAUGGAGGCAGUGUGUGAGCAGCUCCAUGGAGGUGGUGGUGGUGGUGAUGAGGAGGAGGAGGAGGAGCAGGCAGGAGCAGAGGAAGCCAUGCUGUGGUCCAUCCAGGAGGCUCUGGAGAGGCAGACCCUGCAGAUAGGAGCGUCAGCCUGCGGGGCCACAGCUGUGGUGGACGUGCUGAAGGCCCUCGGCGUGGACGUGGCCCCUGAGGAAGCAGACCGCUGCGUCCGGACACACCUGAGGAGGAACGAGUCACCGCUGCCGGACUACCUGCUGUCCCGGAGUGAAGCUGGUGCGACUCACGCUCAGCUCAUUGAAGGAGCAGAAGAGGCCAGUCAUGGGAAGGUGACAGGUCGCUUCUUCCACCUCCACCCCCGGCGUCUGGUCAGGCUGGUACCGUGGCUCGCCAGCUGGAUCCGAAAAGGCGCCGUUCCCGUGGCGACCAUGAACAUGCAGCUUGCCGUACCUGAGGGAGAGGAGGUGCCUGACGCCUGGCACCACCAGCUCAUAUUUGGUGUUGCAUCGAAUGCUGUUUUCAUGACCAAUCCUUUAGAUGUAGUGAGCGACCGAGAGUUGCACCAGAGACUCUGCAGCGAAUCGGUGCUGCUGAUUCGUCGAGAAGACGUUCUUCAGCGACUGACGCCGGACUGCAGCCUGUCAAGCUUAUCCGAGCAGCGGUGGAAAGCCCUGGACGUCGAGGGUCAAGUGAGACAGAUGCACCAAGAAGAGGAAGAGGAAGACGAUGGAGCCAAGUUAACACACAUCAGGAUCCCUGCAGCGUACAGUUCAGGCGUCACUUUCUUCGCCCUACGAGAAUCAGAGUUAGGACAAGAACUCCUCAGUGCUCCUGAACUACCUUGUUUGUGA
rnacentral:lncRNA from 1 species